AGUUUGAUUCUGGCUCAGGAUGAACGCUGGCGGCGUGCCUAAUACAUGCAAGUCGAGCGAAUGGAUUAAGAGCUUGCUCUUAUGAAGUUAGCGGCGGACGGGUGAGUAACACGUGGGUAACCUGCCCAUAAGACUGGGAUAACUCCGGGAAACCGGGGCUAAUACCGGAUAACAUUUUGAACCGCAUGGUUCGAAAUUGAAAGGCGGCUUCGGCUGUCACUUAUGGAUGGACCCGCGUCGCAUUAGCUAGUUGGUGAGGUAACGGCUCACCAAGGCAACGAUGCGUAGCCGACCUGAGAGGGUGAUCGGCCACACUGGGACUGAGACACGGCCCAGACUCCUACGGGAGGCAGCAGUAGGGAAUCUUCCGCAAUGGACGAAAGUCUGACGGAGCAACGCCGCGUGAGUGAUGAAGGCUUUCGGGUCGUAAAACUCUGUUGUUAGGGAAGAACAAGUGCUAGUUGAAUAAGCUGGCACCUUGACGGUACCUAACCAGAAAGCCACGGCUAACUACGUGCCAGCAGCCGCGGUAAUACGUAGGUGGCAAGCGUUAUCCGGAAUUAUUGGGCGUAAAGCGCGCGCAGGUGGUUUCUUAAGUCUGAUGUGAAAGCCCACGGCUCAACCGUGGAGGGUCAUUGGAAACUGGGAGACUUGAGUGCAGAAGAGGAAAGUGGAAUUCCAUGUGUAGCGGUGAAAUGCGUAGAGAUAUGGAGGAACACCAGUGGCGAAGGCGACUUUCUGGUCUGUAACUGACACUGAGGCGCGAAAGCGUGGGGAGCAAACAGGAUUAGAUACC
rnacentral:rRNA from 1 species